CCAAUUUUAGGGGGGAAGAGGCCUCCCCCCGACCCACAACACACCCCGUCUCUUCCCGCCUGGCGGGCGCCCAGUGCGGUGGUUGGGCGAGUGCUGGUGCGGGCGCUCGCUCGCUCUCUCCGCGCGUUUGGAAUAUGGUUGGGGAAAUGGAAACCAAGGAGAAGCCCAAGCCGAGCCCCGAUUACCUGAUGCAGCUGAUGAACGACAAGAAGCUCAUGAGCAGCCUCCCUAACUUCUGUGGGAUAUUCAACCACCUCGAGAGGCUCCUGGACGAAGAAAUUAGCAGAGUACGGAAAGACAUGUAUAACGACACAUUAAAUGGUAGCACGGAGAAGAGAAGUGCAGAGCUGCCUGAUGCUGUGGGACCUAUUGUACAGUUACAAGAGAAACUAUAUGUGCCUGUAAAAGAAUAUCCAGAUUUUAACUUUGUUGGGAGAAUCCUUGGGCCCAGAGGACUAACAGCUAAACAGCUUGAGGCGGAAACAGGAUGUAAGAUAAUGGUCCGAGGCAAAGGGUCUAUGAGAGACAAGAAAAAGGAAGAGCAAAACAGAGGCAAGCCCAACUGGGAACAUCUGAAUGAAGACUUGCAUGUACUAAUCACUGUGGAAGAUGCUCAAAACAGAGCAGAAAUCAAACUGAAGAGGGCUGUGGAGGAAGUAAAAAAAUUAUUGGUACCUGCAGCAGAGGGAGAAGAUAGCCUUAAAAAGAUGCAGUUGAUGGAACUUGCAAUUCUCAAUGGCACCUACAGAGACGCCAAUAUCAAAUCACCAGCCCUUGCCUUUUCUCUUGCAGCAACAGCCCAGGCUCCAAGGAUUAUCACAGGGCCUGCGCCUGUUCUCCCACCAGCUGCCCUGCGUACCCCUACGCCAGCUGGCCCUACCAUAAUGCCUUUGAUUAGACAAAUACAGACCGCUGUCAUGCCAAAUGGAACUCCUCACCCAACUGCUGCAAUAGUUCCCCAAGGACCUGAAGCUGGAUUAAUUUACACACCUUAUGAGUAUCCCUACACACUGGCACCUGCUACAUCAAUUCUUGAGUAUCCUAUUGAACCCAGUGGUGUAUUAGGUAUGGCUUUCCCAACGAAAGGCUAAGAAUUCAAGAACGGUCUUAACUGAAUCCUCAUCAGAGCUGACUUUUAACAAAUGCUUAGUUUUCAGCAGCCUUGAAAAAGCAUAGCCUAGCAGUCAGUGACUUACUUGCACUUUUUUGCACAUAGAAAUAAAAAUGCUAUUAAUUUGGUGUAGCCUGUACUAUGACAAAUUAGCUGUGAUUUAUGAGUGUAUAGUAGUAUACUGACUGCUAUGUAUUCUCUACUAUUUGCUUUACUAAUCACCUAAUUCAUUGCAGUUCACAGUUAUUGACUCAGUUUUAAACCACAGUCUGUAGGCUUGAGGAAUUGCUUUAAAACUUUUUAAAAAGGCAAAAACUGGAACUUUUGUUAAGAUUAGCAAAGAAUCUUCAGUAUUAAAAAUUGCAUUAUUUAAGAUAGUCCUGCUGUAAGGAAGGCACUUCAGUGAAUAUGUGACUAGUAAAGCUCAAAUGUGUUUGGGUCUAAUAGAUUUCAUGAAAUACUGUAAUCUUGAGUUUGUAAAUGAAUGGAUAAUACAGGUUAAGGCCCGGAUGUUUAAAAUAAAUGCAAUAUUAAUCUGCACAGAUAUACUCCAUAUAUAAAGGUUAGAAUUUGAAACUACUGUGCCUUAACUUGUUGCUUUCUUAAAAUGAUUGUUUUUAGAAAGUGAUCAUUUUAAAUCCAUUUUGAUAAGCCUGCUGUUAAUGUUUUUUCAAAUGUUUUCUAACUUGUCUUGGUAAUUGCAAUUUAACUAGGUGCGGUGGCUACUAAAGUUCGAAGGCACGAUAUGCGUGUCCAUCCUUACCAAAGGAUUGUGACCGCAGACCGAGCCGCCACCGGCAACUAACCUAUGACCUUCUGACCUCUGAACUCUUCACCCAAUGAUGACCUGACCAUGCCUGCCUGCUGAUCAGUUAACUGGUAAUCGCCUUUGCUUGCCUGUCUUCAGUGCAGCGAGCUGAGGCACUUGUCCGUUCGUCUUACCAUCUAACAAAAGACAAAGAAUUUGUUGUCCUCCAACUCAGCUUUUUUUUUCCCUGUUUGGGUGAAAGUGGUUCUAGAACCUGCACUGAAUAGUAGUAAAGCAAUAAGGUCCAAUUCAUCCCUCCGCACUGAUCAUCCUUUAGUGUCCUGCCCUAAACGAAUGCUAAGAAGGGCCUCACUUAAGAGAUGGAGGCAGAUGUCCCUUAACUCCCUGAUGACAGAGGCAGUUACUGUGAGACUUCUAGGAAUCUUUUUCUUCUCAUAAAGAAGUCAAAGCUCUCUUUGAAUGUACUGUGUGAUGAUACAUCAUGCAUGAACCUUUGGUCAGGGAUGUCAUUGGUGAAGGGAUUCCUACAAGUAUUCAAAAUUUGACAUGCAGUGUAGUCACUACCAAUGCCCUCAAAGGGCAGAAGAUGCAGCCUUUUUUAUAUUACCUGCCAAAUUGGGUGUUUUUAAGGGGAAAAAAGUGCCAUGAAAGAUAGGUAACUGAAUUUUUGAACUACAUCAAUGCAUAAACAAAACAGCAACACUAUUUAAGCUAAACCUGAGAUACAGUUCCUUUACUCUACAUCAACUUCCUUAAAAGAUUACAUGAGUACAAGGUACAUGCAUUAUGUGUCACGUUACUGGGCAAACUGUUCAAAUAUUUUUUUAAACCUCCCUGUAUAGAGAAAAUUCAUUAAGGAUGUAAAAGCCAUGCUUGCCUAUUUGCUGUAUACAUGUAAUGAAAUUGUAGAUAAAGUGUAGUGCAUUGAAACAAAUUGAAAAAAAAAGUAGAUACUUUUACUAUACAAGGGUGCUGGUGCAGAAAAAAUAUAUUUUUGGAAAUGUAGCAUUUUAUACUUUCAAGUGUUAUAAAAAGAAAAAAGAACAAAGAUACCCUUUAUUUCAUUAAAUGAUUUUUUCUGGUGGUUGUCGAGAAACAAAAGACCAAAAGAGCCUUUUUGUCUUUCUUUUAUUUUUUAAGUAUUGGAAUAAGUAUAAAGAAAAGAAAGUGCCUUAUUUUCUUCAUGGUCAUUUAGUCAGAUGUCUUGUAUAAAUCAGCUGCUCCCUCAGACAGCAAGUUAAUGCAUGCCACUCAGUCGCCCAGUAUGUGGACAGAAGCUGUGAGAAAAGACAAAUGAGUUGACCAUUUAAUUACCUGGUUUUUGCCAUAACUAGAUGCAACUUUGCCAGAUCUUAAACUGUGAAACAGAAUUGUUCCACCAACAGCCAACCGCAAUAUUUUUGUAACAUGUUCCCUCUUUAAUCGUAGACAAUAUAUUUUUGUAGUACUUGCUCAGCCUUAAACCAAAGGGUUCUAAGAUGCAGUCUCAUUCUAAAUCAAAGUAUUAGAUGACAGUAUUUAUACAAUAGCAAGUGUUUCCUUUUCCCCCUCCCACCCACUCCCACAACUUGGGGAUAGAUUGUAUUGUCUUUAUAUUUGAAAUGGAUAUGGGAAGUAGCAGCAGAAUUUGAACUUGCUACAGGAUAAUUUCAUCUGUGGUUAAAUUGAAUAUUCCGACAGCCUAUUUUUGAGCACGUUUCAGGUUUUUGUGUGUUUCAUCUACAAUGCCAAAUAGUAUAUACAGUGCAUAAUUCUCAUCAAAUUCCUACCUGAUGAAUGUUAACUGCCGGUUGCGCUUUACUGGAGAAAGAAAAAAAUAUCAGUUAACUACGAUGAAAGUUCAGCUAUGCUUCACUUUUAGUGUCCAAAAAAAAGCUUACAUAGCUGGGCUAGUGGAGAUGAAUAUUUUACGCACAAAGGUGAAUUAUAAAUAAAAGAUUCAUGAGCAAGUAGUGAUAUGCUAAUGGCUUAGAACCAGAUUUGGCAAAGAUCAGGUGAUAACUCGCCCCCUCCAUUGUGUCAACUUAUUCUCCUAAAAACCUUCACAGCUUCCAAAUCAAAGGUCAAUUGUAAGUUAGGAAAGAGGGCUUACUUUUUAAGCACCUGCAUGGUGACUUUGUCUAACAUUGUGUCUCACCUGGAAACAAGUAUCAGUUUAUUUACUAUGCAAUAAACAUUCAUCCUUUUGUACUCAGCUAGCUUUUAUUUUAUCCUGCCACCAGCUUUGUCUUCCUGUUACACAUAGGUUUUUUGGUUUGACUUUCAGUAUAUGCUGUGCCAUUUUAAUUUUUGUUUUGGUUGAAUAAACUUGCGACACUCAAACAUUUUGGAGAGAGAAUUGCUUAAAACAUUACCAGUAUUUGAUCCAGUUUCAUCUCAUCUAUGAUUAACCUGGACAUUUUAGAUGCUGAUCAAAGGUCUCUUCUUGGGAGAAGUGUGACUUGUAAAAGUAAUGUUUGUUCUGAAAAAAGUUUGAAGACUUAGUUGACAACAUUUUGGAUCAACUUAAAGCAUGACUUUUGAAAUCUGAAUGCCUUGGUUCUCAGUAUUAUCAUUCUUUAUUGAAUUUUUCUUUAUUAAAAUAUGUAGACUUUUUUCUGACAGUAUUAUGUAAUUUUUUUUAGAGUGGGUAUAUGGGAGUGUCGCUUGUAUGUAACCGUACAGAUGACAUGUAUUUGUCUAUUCUUUAUCUUAGUUUGAUGCUAUGUAUGUACCAUAACCAACCUAUUGCCUAUGAGAAACAUGUAAGAUAAUGUAUUUACAGCCAUUGUUACAAGUUUAUAAUGUAUUUUUCUAUCUUGUUUUAUAUGUAUGUUAUAUAACAUUCAGAAGAAUUUUUUUCCUGAUUGAGAAAAGGAUACAAAAAUGCAAAACCCACAAUUUUGAUAACUGAAAAUUGCCAAUUGUUUUGCAGUACUUUAUUAUUAAAUUGGGAGUGUUGUCUUGGGCUUUUAGUUAGCUACUGGAUUGAAUACAUUAGACAUAUUUGGGUUUUAGUUGGGUUUUUACAUAGCUUGCAUUUUAAUUCUUUGGUUCUUUGCUGUUUCUAUUAACCCAUAGCAUUAUUUUAAUAAAUGUUAUAAUACCAACCUACUAACUCUGGACUAUGUCAGUUUAUUAACCAUUACAUGUUUAAUUAAAAUAAACAAGGAAAGACAGAAGAAUGUAAAGUCUUGAGUUAUUGGACUAACCCUGAAGAACGUGACCACAGAUAACACAACGUGACUUGUUUUAUGUUGUUUGUUUGGCUGACAUUCUGCACACUACUUUUAAAUUGGCUUUGGUCAUUCUGGCCUCUUACCUGGGGGGUAGGUGCCAGUAGAGUUGGGAACAAGUAGCAUUAUUGGAGGCAUUCUUCUUGUAGAGUCUUGCCACUUGCCUUUCAGCAUCUGCAUUACUAAUUCCACACUUUUCUUCUCUGAAAUAAUCACUGUCAGCUCACAGCAAAAGGGCAAAGAUGCCAGUGAAUUGUUAGGUCAUUCUAUAUGCCCAGAAAAACCAGUUUGAUUCUUUGUUGAGCCACUGUGAGGUCACAUACAAAUUCAGUAUGGUUUGGAAGACAGAUUAAAUUCAUAAUAAUUCAGCAUCUCAAAAUGCAAGCCUUCUGUAUCAUACAUGCUUCUGAAUGUAUCUGAAAGCAACACGUGCACACACCCCUUCAUGAUUCAGCUACCAAAACACAAACACUCUCACUCUCCUCUCUCUGAUAUGCAGCUUUACUUUCAUUGCAACUCUGAAUACAUUUAAACUGCAGUCUUCAGAUCAUGCAAUUCUCAGGUAAUUAAAAUUGCUCCAUAAUAAAUAGUUUGACCAUUGUAGCUUUGCUAACCUUAGGACUGCAGGCUACUUUAUGUACUGUAGUGUUUGAACACCACUUAACUCAGGGCAGUACAAACUAUAGAAAGUCAAAAUAAGUUAUUUCGUAGUAACUGUAAAAAGAAUAGAAUACUUUAAUAGUAGUAUCCAAGGAGAGGUUUAAAGUUACCCUAUGUGCUUAUCCCUAUGGAUGACUGAAACAAUGUAAGGGUAGAGAUGUAAAUUGUAGUAGUUUAAAAGGGAAAAAAUGCUUUUCUGAAAACUGCACUAGAAAAUAUAUUAGGUAAAGCAUGGCUUUUAUAGCCUGUUUGUAUAGUGUCAUGAGUAGUUGCAUUUGUUAAAAUUUGACCCCAUCCAUUUAAUACAUAUUGAAUAUCUUAGAACCAUUUGGGGUUUUCCUUUUAUUGAAAUUAGGGUGCUAUGUGUGGUGGUGAUGGUGGGUAUUUUGGAGACACACAAAGUAGUAGCACGCACAAUGGCACACAAAAUUUUGCCAAUGCUACUAGAAGCUUUAUACUUCAGUUUUACCACAUGACAUAAGUGUAAAUUCAUCAUGGAUUGGAUGGAAGUUGGAUUAGUGCAAACUAUAACAACAUUUGAAACAAAUUGCAUAGUAUGAUUCUAAUAAUUUUCAUAAUUGAAAAAGUAAAAUACAAGUAAUUAAAAACUGAAGCGUUAAGUAUGUUUAAUGUUUUCUGGAGAACACUCAAUAUAUGUGAUUAUCAAUAAAUCUAUGCCCUGCUAAAUUUUGUUCAUAUAUAAGUUUUUAUGACCAAGCUUUAUGAUUCACUUCAGUAUUGCAGGGCUGAUGGUCAGUAAUAGAACUCAUACUCUGAAUGCAGAAUGCCCAAUCCCUGGCAUCUCCAGGUAAGGCUAAGACAAGUCCCUGUCUGGAAUCCUGGAAAACUACUGCCAGUCAUUAGACCAGGGAUUCCCAAUCUGUGAUACUACAGAUGUUGCUGAUAUACCACUCCCAUCAUCCCCAGCUACAAUUUAUUCUGGUUGGGGAUGAUGGGAGUGGUAGUUCAACAACACCUGGAGUACCACAGGUUGGGAACCCCUGCUGUAGACAGUACUGAGAUGCAUGGACCAAUGGUCUGACGCAGUAUGGCAGCUUUCUGUUUUUCUCGCUAUAUAAUGUUAUCAGUGGGUUGAGUUGAGUUGUAACUUUUUGCACUAUGGUGCUCCUCAGUGGGGAGCUCAUUCUAUGAACAGAACAGUUAUGCUCUUAGGACUCCUCCUUCCAGGAGCACAACUCUCUUGUUCACAGAAGGAGCUCCUGGUUAUUGAGCACCACAGCAUGUGAGAUUAGAGUCCAACUCAAUCUGCUUUGAGAGUACAUGGGUAUUAAUUUUAAAUCUGCAAGCCCACGAAUGACCACCUCAACUAUAUUUGUCUCAGUCUGAGCAGUCCGCAUCACAUCUCAGCUGAGAAAUGGUUGGGGAUUUAAAAGUUAACCCCAAGCCCCACAGUUGCUUCUCAGCUGAGAAACCACAGGCUGCUCAUUCACUUUGACUUUUAAAUCCUAACUCCUUCCCAGCUGUAAAGCAGUGCGGGGAUAGGAAUUUAAAAGUUAAAGCGAACAAGCAUCCUGUGUUGCAGCCAAGAACUCCCAGGAACCCAGCCCUAUUUUCCAGGUUAGUUUUAAGCUUUGAAUGUUGUGGUUUUAAUUUGCAGUAUUUCCGUGAAAUAUUAUUGAUCCGUGAAACAUUACCUCCAUAAGAUGCAAGGGUCUCCUGUAUUGGGGAAGAUCCAAACCUUCCUUUGUGCAACAAAAAUGCUUCUGUUUUCACAUGAUGGGUACAAGGUAAUCUUUUCUUGUGCCACGUGGUGGAGGGCCUUGUGACUUUGGGUUUUUCAGGGGGCUAAAAAGCCCCCAUAAUCAAGGGAAGCACUGCAUGUAGCAUUCGGGAUUACAGUUAUGGCCUCAUGAGAUAAUUGCAUUUAAUGCAAUUUAAUUAUUGAGAUUAGUGCAUUUAACUUUUUUUGACAGUGGUGUAAUGAGAAAUUCUGUCUAUUCUAAGGACCUAUUUAUAUUUUUAACACUACUUACCCAUGGCAUUCCUGCAGGUUACUAAAAUUUGCUUUGUGAUAGACGCUAUUAAAAUCACAUUUCCUCUUAAAUGGGAAGUUUUCACAGCUAUUUUCCUUGACUGUACAAACCCAUUUUAAAAUGCAGGGCAAGCUAUGAGUCCUGUUGCAUGUAAAUGGACAAUGGAACUUGAUAUAAAGGAUGUUUUCAAAAUGAGAACUCUGUGUUUCUCUUAAUACAAUCAUACUGCAAAUCAUUUAUGCAACUGGACAAAAAUAACUGAUUAAAACACAAGUACUUAGCCGCAUAUGUUUAUUCAGAACUAAAAUUAUGUUCAGUGAGAUCUACUCCCAAGUAUCAGAUUUUUAAGAAUACUGUUAGCGACUGAAAAUAAGUUUUUGAUUUAACUUGACACUUUCAAAUGAGAACUUUCAGUCCGUGGGAGGACCACUAAAGUAAUUUAUAUAGGAAAUGCCAAUUGAAAAUAGAUUGUCAUCCAGUAACCACAAAACAAAUGUAACUGCAUGUAAUGUGUAUAUAUUGACAGAGGUUUCUGAAGUAGCAUAUUAUAAAGAUAGGUCCACCACACAUUCCUGAGGUACAAAUUGUGUGUGUAUUACAUAGUUGGGAUUCCUAUCUUUAUUUUUGAUGCAGUAUUUAAUAAUAUAUAAAAUGAACACAAUUGCCAAUUAAAUAUUUUAUGUGGAAAUCAAUGUUGAAUCAAACUGGUUAACACAAAAAUGGUACUCCUGGUUCCUUUAAUAUUUUCGGCUCACUAACUUCAGGUGUAAAAAUCCUGUCUUGAAACUGGGUAUUGGAGAUGCAGCAGGUGCUUUAUUUGCAGUAUUUAUUUUGUGCCAGUUAUGUUGGUGGUUGACUACUAAUUGCAUCAGGAGAAAUUACUCCCAGGACAAAGAUUUGCUUCUGGAGACUAAUUAUUAGAGAAGGAUUUUUAAAUAGAUAAAUUUCCUUUGAGUUGUAUUGUGAGAAAAUGUUUGAUUCAGAGUUUUUGUUUGUGCAACACAAUGUGUGUUAGGAAAAAUGGAUGUUGCCCAAACACAUGUAAAUUUUUUUUUAAAAAUCAUGUCUGUACAUGAUGUGCAAUAAAAGAACUGGAAAAAUUACAUGUACUUUAUCCUCGAAAGCCAAUAGUCGGCUUACAAGGCUGCCAUUACUUUUAUAUUUUGAAAAGUCAAAUUUUAUUCUGUAUCUAAAUGUAUGGCAGAAUAAAGAAUGUACAUUUUGCACUC